AACAUGAAUUUAUUUUUUCGUCUCGUUUGAUCAGAACGUUAUUGAAGUAUUGUUGUUUGGCCAGGAAGUUUCCAUGAUUGUAAAUGUACAUAGUACAUAGUUACCGGUACGUGGCGUAUUGAUUUAUCACCUCACCAGGUCGCGUGUGUUUUGGAGCAGCUUUUUAUUAUUUUAUCGCAAUGCUUUUUUCGUCGUAAGAGUGCAUCAUCUGAUGCCCCGUUUCGUGGCGCGUUAUUACAUAAUUAAUGAACCAAUCGAUAUCUACUAGGUCGUUUAUAUAAACGUGCCAGAAUAUCAUAUCAAAUUUAUACUUUUGGAUCUUUAACAACCGUAUAUCAUUUGUUGAGUUUUAUCAUCCUUAAUUUCAUUCCGAUUGUACAAUGCGAAAUUUUGCUUUUUAUUUGAUUCGUUCGUUUGCUUUGCCAACUUGACGAAUUCGCUAACGAAGGAAAUUCAAGGGAACAAACACGAACGCGACUGGUUUUCGCGAAAAAGGAGGAUUGGUUUCGCGCACACAUAGGAUGAUACUCUCAGGAUCGACCGUCCUUGAACGGUCAAAAAUAUGUUUGCAGGUCCAUCGGUAGCGGAGUAGGUCGUCUCGCGUGCACUCGUGAGAUUCUCGCUGCAAACCUGUUCACCUUCGUCCUCGCCCUCGGAUCGAACACAUCCGUGGCUCGUCUUUCGCAUCUUCCGCUUAGCUGAAUCCUGAGAAUUCGUCGAACGUUAGUCAGAUCAUAAAGAAAGACAGAAAGAAUCGACGAAAGAACACUACUUACAUACCCUUCGUGUCUGAUUCUUCAUCUGCAAUUCUUUCACGUGAGCAGAAUUAAUUUUCCUCUAAUUGUUGUAACUUUUAAGAAAUUCCCGAGAAUUCAUCGUGUCUGUUGAUAUGAAUCAUUAUGCAAUCAAGUUGCUACGUCAUCAUUUGAUAAUUAAAACGCUUAAUUAUCGGACAAAUUUCAAGUUGGAGUUUCUAGUCAGCGAUUUCGAAUUAGUGUUCUGUUAAUUAAGAGUGAAACUCGUUUCGCACGGAAUUCCAAGAUUCGAGAAUAUCGACCAGAGAUGUACCGUGGUCUGUCGAUCGUCCUAAGAAUCAUUUGAAAUUCCGUCGAAUUAACUGGAAGCUUAACAAUUUUCAAUCGGAAGCGGACGCUGUCUGUCUACAAUCGAUCUGCGGUUCGGUCGCUCUUCUUUGGUUUAACGUCGACUUCGAUUUUCCACGCUGGCUGUUCCAUCAUAUCGCGAAUAUCAGAAAUCUGGUUCGAGAAAUCCCAUUAACUUCGUAGAAAAUAGUCGAGAACCGAUGAAAACAAUCGGGAAACACUGGACGCUUUUCCGUGUAUCAAAACAGUCACAAGAGCGUGAGCCUUGAACCUCGAAGAAGCGUUAAAAAUGUAAAAUCUGUCGCGACGUGGAAGCCUAAGUAUCCUCGAUAAAAUCGCUAAGAAUUUCUGCGAAAUCUAUAGGAUAGAAUGAUCGAAUAUCUUUUCUUUUUAGUUGCAAAACAUACAAGGAUCUUGGUGGAAAAGUGAUACGAGUUUAUUCUUUUCUAAAAAUAGUAAAAGAAUGCGAAGCGAACGUGAAAACAUCUCGACGCUGGCUGAAAUUCGCGAUAACAACAAAUAGCUGUGAUUCCGUGAAGCGUGAUAAAAAUGUAGAGUUCGUAAUACGAGUUUCCCGUGAUUGAUAACGGCCCCGAUCAAUAAUACG